rnacentral:lncRNA from 10 species
AUCCAGAUAAAAAGUAGAAGGUUUAGAGAUAUUGAUGCUUUGGCAAGAUCCAUUCCGUACAUAAAGGCAAGGUCCAGCUCUGUCACCCACACUGGACUUCGGUGGUACAAUCCUAGCUCACUGCGGCCUCGAACUUCUGGGCUCAAGUGAUCCUCCAGAUUCUGACAGAAGAUACAGAUGGAACUCAUUGGUCAGAGAUCAC